UUCUUCCAAAAGAAAUCUUCAUCCAUAUACAUUUGAGAGUUAGAGUUCAUUCUUUGUAUCAGUUUAUGCAAUCUUCAUCAAGAUGAACAUCAUCAUCACCAAGCUUCCUAUCAACCCUCUUCUCCUUCUCAGGAGGAAGAGAUACUAUGGAGUUGUAGCAAAAGAUGUGGAGCUUCAAAUGGGAGCAACAAGGAUGGUGAGUGAGUCACAAUCAUCAUCAGCCAAAAAUGAUAAUAAAAAUAAAGAUGAAAUUUUUUGGAUGAGAGAUCCAAAGAGUGGAAACUGGAUUCCUGAGAAUCACUUUGAUGAACAAGUUGAUGCUGCUGACCUCAGAGCCAAGUUCCUUUCACAACAACAAAAUCAACACUCAAACAAUUUUUGAUCAUAUUGGCUUUAUAAUUUUAGAAUACUUAAAAAGUGUUACUAAGAUUAAGGUUAUAUUUAUUUUUAUAUUUUUCAAAUAAAGAAGUUUUUUUUUAAAUAUUAAAAUAUUAUUUUAAUUUUAACAAAAUAUUACUAAAGUUGUAUANNNCUGUAGUCAUCAUAAUGAUAAUUACUAUAACAUGUACCAAUAUAUAUGAUGGAAUAAAAAUACUUAUAAUAAAUUUCAUCAGAAGUUAUAUUAUAUGUGUAAACCUUAGGUUGUUGCAACAUUUCAAGUCCUUGCUCAAAUUGAUUGAGAAUUAGAAACUACUUAUCAUUAAUUAAUAUGUAUUUUAUUU